rnacentral:rRNA from 1 species
AGUGAACGCUGGCGGUAGGCCUAACACAUGCAAGUCGAACGGCAGCACAGUAAGAGCUUGCUCUUACGGGUGGCGAGUGGCGGACGGGUGAGGAAUACAUCGGAAUCUACUUUUUCGUGGGGGAUAACGUAGGGAAACUUACGCUAAUACCGCAUACGACCUACGGGUGAAAGCAGGGGAUCUUCGGACCUUGCGCGAUUGAAUGAGCCGAUGUCGGAUUAGCUAGUUGGCGGGGUAAAGGCCCACCAAGGCGACGAUCCGUAGCUGGUCUGAGAGGAUGAUCAGCCACACUGGAACUGAGACACGGUCCAGACUCCCACGGGAGGCGGCAGUGGGGAAUAUUGGACAAUGGGCGCAAGCCUGAUCCAGCCAUACCGCGUGGGUGAAGAAGGCCUUCGGGUUGUAAAGCCCUUUUGUUGGGAAAGAAAAGCAGCAGGUUAAUACCCCGCUGUUCUGACGGUACCCAAAGAAUAAGCACCGGCUAACUUCGUG